AAGAGACGCCCACACGCGCCGCGAAGGAUCCCUAGCGGAGACAGUAGGGACAACCCUCCCGGGAAAGGAUCGACCCUCCGCUUCCAGGAGUGCCCGGCACUCCCCAGUCCCGGACCAAUUCAGAGGCCAUUGGAGGCCAGCUGCGAAACCCCUGGGGCUCCUUCGGUCGAUCGGACCCCGGGUGGCUCAUCCUGUCCAGGCCUCCCCGCCCAAACCGGGGUCCCAGAUCUCAGCGGAGUUCACGAUUCUCGGAACAGUGGCCGCCAGCCGCUUGGACUACUGCUACGGCGACCCCGUGUGGUCCCCAGCGCGGGCUCCAAGGAGAAGGGUUCUCGGCCGCACUGCGGCUUUGCACCAAGGGAUAGGAAAUGAGCCGGCGACAGAAACGCGAAAAGGAGUCUCCGGGGCUGGGUAUGGAGACCCGGGACGCUCGGGGACCAUCACGCUCCGGGACCAUCUGUGACUGCCAGCCCGCCACUCCACAAGCACCGACGCCACUUCGGAGGUGAACUUCCAGGGAAGGGUGCAGUCAAAAGAAGCCUAACCCCACACCACGGUGGCAGGGCGAGACCUCGUUGAGAGGGGCUCCUGUGACCUGCGCGACCCGCAUAAGUGGCAUGAAAGCUAACCAAACCUCCGAGGUCCCACCCGCGGACAGCGUCACACAGAGCUCCGGGUCCAAAGCCCGACUAGUCCCGCGCGUUUGCGCCUCGGGGCACGGGGCCUGCGCUCCUGGAUCGGGUCCCGGGAAUCGGAAACAGAGCUCGCGCUUCCCCGCAUCCUCCCGGCUUCGCCGCUCAGCUCGGCAUCCCCGAACCCAGCCUCGCAGCCCCGGCUCUAGCUCCCGUCGUCCCGCACUCACCGCGCCCCCGCUCCCGGCGCCCGCGCAGCCUCCGCCCGCUGUCCCGGCGCCGCCGUCUCUCCGCGGGACUGCAGGCCAGGGACGGUGAGGGGGCAGGGCGGUGCGGAGGGGCGGGGCCGCUGCAGGUAACAAUGCUGCCUACCCGGCUGCUCCUCCAGCCGGCCGCAAAGGACAGCACGCCCUUUCCUGCUCCGCUGCCUCCCUCGCUCCCCCUUCAACCCUAAGAGCACCGCCACUGCGCUCGCCCUCGCCAGCUCCGGGCUCCGGAGACUCGAAAGCCGCCGCCCAGCACGCUGCUCCUGGCACCUGAAGACCAGCUCCGGGCUGGGCGGGCAACCACAGAGUGACUUGUGACGAUGCCAGGCAGAGAGCGAAGUGAGUAGUCAAAGAAAACUCACCCUGGACAAACCGGCUGCUGGCAUCUCAGCUGCCGGGGUGGGAAGCGCCCUCUGCGGGAAUGAAGUCAUCCUACCCUUUUCUGGGUGCGCCCAGAUAACCGACCAGAGCGUUCCUUUCCCAAGCUCUGGGGCCUGAGGACUUCCAGCUACUCCACCAGGUUCUCAGGUCCUGGACUCCGUCCUAAUUCCUCACCUCCUACUGCGAGCCUUGCACAGGACGAGAGAAGCCCAGGAAUUUGAAGCCAGCCUUGCCAACACGUUGAGAUUUCCAAGAAGAAAAAAGCCACUUUGGACGAGUCAAGCCCAGUGGCCCACCCUCCUCCCUCUGGCUUUUGAUCUCCAGCUUCGUUCUGACCCACAGGCCUUCCUUUGG
ensembl:lncRNA